UUAAACUAAAAGGUGCCAAUCUGUUUAUAC
rnacentral:piRNA from 1 species